AUACGGAGGGGGCUAGCGUUGUUCGGAAUUACUGGGCGUAAAGCGCGUGUAGGCGGAUCGUUAAGUCAGGGGUGAAAGCCCGGGGCUCAACCCCGGAACUGCCCUUGAUACUGGCGAUCUAGAGUCCGGAAGAGGUGGGCGGAAUUCCCGGUGUAGAGGUGAAAUUCGUAGAUAUCGGGAGGAACACCAGUGGCGAAGGCGGCUCACUGGUCCGGCACUGACGCUGAGACGCGAAAGCGUGCGGAGCAAACAGGAUUAGAUACCCUAGUAGUCC
rnacentral:rRNA from 1 species